UUGCACGCUGGCGGCAGGCCUAACCCAUGCAAGUCGCACGGUAACAGGAAGAAGCUUGCUUCUUUGCUGACGAGUGGCGGACGGGUGAGUAAUGUCUGGGAAACUGCCUGAUGGAGGGGGAUAACUACUGGAAACGGUAGCUAAUACCGCAUAACGUCGCAAGACCAAAGAGGGGGACCUUCGGGCCUCUUGCCAUCGGAUGUGCCCAGAUGGGAUUAGCUAGUAGGUGGGGUAACGGCUCACCUAGGCGACGAUCCCUAGCUGGUCUGAGAGGAUGACCAGCCACACUGGAACUGAGACACGGUCCAGACUCCUACGGGAGGCAGCAGUGGGGAAUAUUGCACAAUGGGCGCAAGCCUGAUGCAGCCAUGCCGCGUGUAUGAAGAAGGCCUUCGGGUUGUAAAGUACUUUCAGCCGGGAGGAAGGGAGUAAAGUUAAUACCUUUGCUCAUUGACGUUACCCGCAGAAGAAGCACCGGCUAACUCCGUG
rnacentral:rRNA from 1 species